rnacentral:rRNA from 1 species
GAUGAACGCUGGCGGCGUGCCUAAUACAUGCAAGUCGAGCGAACAGACGAGGAGCUUGCUCCUCUGACGUUAGCGGCGGACGGGUGAGUAACACGUGGAUAACCUACCUAUAAGACUGGGAUAACUUCGGGAAACCGGAGCUAAUACCGGAUAAUAUAUUGAACCGCAUGGUUCAAUAGUGAAAGACGGUUUUGCUGUCACUUAUAGAUGGAUCCGCGCCGCAUUAGCUAGUUGGUAAGGUAACGGCUUACCAAGGCGACGAUGCGUAGCCGACCUGAGAGGGGGACCGGCCACACUGGAACUGAGACACGGUCCAGACUCCUACGGGAGGCAGCAGUAGGGAAUCUUCCGCAAUGGGCGAAAGCCUGACGGAGCAACGCCGCGUGAGUGAUGAAGGUCUUCGGAUCGUAAAACUCUGUUAUUGGGGAAGAACAAAUGUGUAAGUAACUAUGCACGUCUUGACGGUACCUAAUCAGAAAGCCACGGCUAACUACGUG